GUCUCUUUGGUCUAGUGGUUAGGACACCACCUUUUCAAGGUGGUAGCAGGGGUUCAAAACCCCUAAGGGAUU
rfam:Candidatus Nasuia deltocephalinicola str. NAS-ALF, complete genome.